rnacentral:ncRNA from 2 species
UUACACAGCAUCCAAACCCUUCAUAUAAUUUCGGAAAUAAGGUUCGAAAGUUCAUACCAAAUCACCGGAUAAAUGAUUUGACUAUGAGGGAAGAAUAUAAAUGA